UACGUAGGGGCCUAGCGUUGUCCGGAUUUAUUGGGCGUAAAGAGCUCGUAGGCGGUCUGUUACGUCUGCUGUGAAAACCCGGGGCUUAACCCUGGGCUUGCAGUGGAUACGGGCAGACUAGAGGCAGGUAGGGGAGAAUGGAAUUCCCGGUGUAGCGGUGAAAUGCGCAGAUAUCGGGAGGAACACCGGUGGCGAAGGCGGGUCUCUGGGCAGUAACUGACGCUGAGGAGCGAAAGCGUGGGGAGCGAACAGG
rnacentral:rRNA from 1 species